AUGCUUUUAUUUUGCAGGAUGAAGACAUUACAUGCAAUGCUACUGAUGGUGUUUGUUGCAUCAGUCUUUUCUAAACCAUUUGAUUUGCGCAGAAGAUUUGAUUUAUCAGACACUGUGCGAUCUAGAUUCAGCUCAGAGGAAAAUGAUUCAAGCAGAGAAGACAGGGAGGAUUCACAGUCAGAUGAGAAAUCUGAAUCAAACGAGUCUAAAUCAAGUGACUCUGAAUCUUCGGAGGAAGUUGUGUCAAGCACAUUCCCUCCAGCUAGCACAACAAGUCCACUGACUGCUGGCAAAACAACAACAACAUUAGCUACCACGACACAAGACACCACAAACUGUGUUACUGCAACAAGGGGUGAUGGUAAUGUUAUAAUAUCUUGCGGUCCUUAAUCAUCACUUGAAUGUUUAAAGGUGUACAAUUCAUUACAUUUUACAUUAUAAUGUAAUGUUUAUGUGCUGAUAAUGAAGGUCUUGACACUGAAUGAUGUAACUUUUAAAAUUAUUUACUUUUAAACUGCAUGUCACUAUUAUGGUUUUAAGUGCUUAUUUGGAAUUUUAAAAAUCUUUCAAAUGCAUUCAAAUUAUUUAACACCCUUUAACACACUGUUUUCCAAUGUAAUUUAUUAUUGGUAGUACUUUGUCUGAAGCAAUAAAAUGUGAUUUAUCAGCAUAUUGAAAUAAGAGUUCAAUACAUUUUUUUGUAACUUUUUUCAGCAACCAAAUUAAUUAUUAUUGUUAUUAUUAUUAUUAUUAUUAUUAUUAUUAUUAUAACAUUGGUGUAAAUGGCAUGGAACCUACUAUAUGCUAUUUUUUUAAUUCAGUAACGUAAUUUACAUUUAUUAUUAUUAUUAUUAUAAUUAUUAUUAUUAUGAGAUCAAAAUAAAUAAGUAAGUAAGUAAGUAAAGUUUAUUUAUAUAGCACAUUUAUCACAGCAAAGCUGACCAAAGUGCUGAACAAAGUCAAAGAUAAACAUAAAAUAAACAAAACAGAUGAUACAGUAAAACAAUGGAACAUAGAUAAAAUCCAAUUUAAAAUGCCUAGGAAUAAAGAUAUGUUUUCAACUUCAUUUUAAAAGUUGUGAUAGAAGGUGCAAGGCGAAUGUCCAGUGGAAGUUGGUUCCAAAGACGGGGGGCCGCAAUAGAAAAAGCCCUAUCACCCUUCAUUUUUAGGGUGAUAGAAGGUGCAAGGCGAAUGUCCAGUGGAAGUUGGUUCCAGAGACGGGGGGCCGCAAUAGAAAAAGCCCUAUCACCCUCGUUUUUAGGCGUGAACGAGGGACAACUAAAAGAAGCUCUAUCAGAAGAUCUUAGAGAUCUGGAGGAAGAAACAUGAACAAGAUGAUCUGAGAGAUAAGAUGGGGCUUGACCAUUAAGAGCUUUAAAAACAAACAACAAAAUUUUAAAUUGAAUUCUAAAAUAGACAGGAAGCCAAUGAAGAGAGGCUAAAACUGGUGUAAUGUGAUCCGUUUUCUUUGCCCCAGUCAACAGCCUUGCAGCAGCAUUUUGUACCAUCUGCAAGCGUGCAAUGGAUGACUGAGGAAGACCCAAAUAUAAUGAAUUGCAGUAGUCAAGGCAGGAGGUAAUAAAAGCAUGAAUAACUUUCUCCAGGUCAUUAAAAGUUAAAAAUGAUUUUAGUCUCGAGAUGAUCCGUAACUGAUAAAAACUGUUCUUGACAACU
rnacentral:lncRNA from 1 species